UGAGGCUUCAUUUGUGUUUUACAAAACUCUCACUGUUAACACUGAGCCUCUUAAGCAUCAUCAUUAAAUGGGAAUUAUGGCAUAAUCACUUCUUUUCAGUGUUACUGAUACAGAUAAACAUGGACAACAAUAGCGGACAUUACUCUCCAGCGUGUUAUGCAUUUUGGCAAAUUACGAGCCUGAUUUAUAAAGCACAGAGAGAAGAUCUGCUUUUUACUAAAAUUUGUAAAUUUUUGAGAAACUGCCCACUGAGGGAAACUGACCCCAUCCCUUCUAGUCCCGGUGCUUCAAAGGGACGACUGCCUGGAAGGAGGCGUCAUUGUCCAUGGAGACGGCCGAGAGAGAUAGACGCUCCAAGUUAGAGAAUUCAACAUAGCAUAUCUGAGAACACAGAGCCCACUUGACUACUUGAUUAAGCCUGGACGACAACACGGAAAUACAUGGAAGAAGAAUUCUCGGCUAUACCUACUACCCUAGAAGACAAUUUCUGAUUCUUUUGAAAUUAGACUCUGUCUUGCAUGAAGCAAAACUCUUAACAGGAAGAACAUCCCCAAUGUCUGCUGCAUUUAGAAUGCCACUUGUGUAAUGUUAAUGUUUGGGCCUUCAACAUGUAUCUAUGACAUCCAUAUUUUCAGUUUAAAUAUUCUGUUCAGUGUUUCAGAAGCUGAGAGUCACCUUGUAGAAAAUGGUACCACCCCAUAUGUAAGUUGGAUGGGACAUACACACACACACUCUCGCCAAGGCAGUUUAAAGACCACAUCUUCAGUAUUCCAAUAACAAAUACAUGGAAAAUAUAGGAAUAAGCAAGGUGUGCAACAACUCUACUGUCAUUGGCUUUAUGCGCAACAGUGGUGGAGCAAUAUUUCUCUUCAUAUGGACUAUAACAGAUAGAAACCAUGUGUUGUAAUGAUACAUUUGGAGAGUUCAGAAAAGGGAGUGGAAGAAUGCGGAGUGAUAUAAACCAUGUGCUGUAAUGAUACAUUUGGAAAAGUUUAGAAAAGGGAGUUGAAGAAUGCGGAGUGAUAAGUGGAGUUGGCUGGGGGUUAUGGGUUUUCUUCUAGGUCAAAACUUGGGAGCUGAAGGGAAACAGACAGGCAUUUGACUUAUCUGGCCUUUAAUAAAAAUCUCAUUCCACUGACAAUAAAUAUUACAUAACUGAUGCAUUUCCCUGCACUAUCAAGUUAUUUGGUAACCCUUGAAUCUCUGACAAUACUACAAUUGUAGUCAGCAACAGGGAAAGUGGUCUAGCAAGGAAAGAUAUUGGGGAUUAGGAGAGCAUGAACUACGCUCAAGUACACACUCUCCUUUUCACUGCCUCAAGUUCAUUUUGUUGGAUGACAUUAACAAUAGAUUUAAAGAAUUCAAGUGAGCAUAAGUGGCACUUGGACACCCUCAGGGAUGACUAAUGUUCUUAUCCUUGUCUCCAGUGCAUUCCUUCCAAAAAAUCUCAUAUGAAUGCUUUCCAUUACUCUUCUCUUAAAGGGUUCACCAGCAUUGUCUUCUAACAAAAGGUAUCUGUUUAUGCCUUGCACAGGGAAAAAGGACCAGAGUUAAUGGGUAAAACCUGAAGCAAGCCAGAAAAUGAAAACCUAAAGUAAGUCCUAUCGUUUGUCUAAAUAAAACCGUACCCCAAUAAAUUGUAGUUUAAGUUCAGAAGGAAAAGUCAGGAACUGGGAAUUCUAAAGAGUACUAAAUGGCACACACACACACACAGGUUUUUUCUUCAAAUUUUUGAAAAGCUCAGAUGAUGACAAAUCAACUACGCUGAUUUUUAUUGUGUCGCGCUGAUGACUUCAACCACAUAACUUCCAGAAACACGCUUUGUAACAACUGAUUUGUGUCAUGGUAGCACCCCUGGAAAAAACAAAAUGGCAAUUGAAAUGACAUAAAAUAAUUUUUAGUAACCAAUUUCAAAAUUAAAAAUGCAUGCAAAAAUAUCAUUCAGAGCCUCAAAAACCCUUAAUGGAAAUAACAAAUAGGAAAGGAAGUUGAAAAAUGAUUUAAAAAAUACUAAAUGUUCAGGUAAUAUAAAGUAAUGAGGAUUCCAGGUUCAGUGAGGAAGAUUCCCUGCACUAAGACUUUCUUUCUUCAGCUGCCUCCUGUAAGGACAUGAAGAAAUUCAUGAUGGACCAUCUCACUGCUACAUGAAACUCUUUUCAGUAAUAGCUUGUUCUGAUUCACUGCAGUAAUCAAAGUCAAACUUGAAUGCCAAAUCGCAAAAGACUCUCCAAAUUAAGAAGACGGGGGCCACUGUAUUUGCAGUGUCAUGGAAAAGUAGUCUGAGACAUCAUGUAUGGGUGUUUGAUGUCAAUGCUUCAAAUCCGUGAAGCACAUGAAGUAUACGCAUUGCCUUAAGACUGCUGCUGUAUGAAGACUUUAGUAUUGCACUGACACGGGAGUCAACUUUUGAAAGGGUAAUUGCUUGUAUUGGAGUUAAUCUGCAAAAGUCUACAUUUCUGGAAAACAGCACACCAGGUGCCUCAUGUAUGAACGGUGUGUAUGCACAGAAAUGUUGCGUAAGAACUUUUCCAUGUUCAAAUUCCAUGU